GUAACCUGCCCUUGACUCUGGGAUAAGCCUGGGAAACUGGGUCUAAUACCGGAUAUGACCAUCUGACGCAUGUCAUGGUGGUGGAAAGCUUUUGUGGUUUUGGAUGGACUCGCGGCCUAUCAGCUUGUUGGUGGGGUAAUGGCCUACCAAGGCGACGACGGGUAGCCGGCCUGAGAGGGUGACCGGCCACACUGGGACUGAGACACGGCCCAGACUCCUACGGGAGGCAGCAGUGGGGAAUAUUGCACAAUGGGCGGAAGCCUGAUGCAGCGACGCCGCGUGAGGGAUGACGGCCUUCGGGUUGUAAACCUCUUUCAGUAGGGAAGAAGCGAAAGUGACGGUACCUGCAGAAGAAGCGCCGGCUAACUACGUGCCAGCAGCCGCGGUAAUACGUAGGGCGCAAGCGUUAUCCGGAAUUAUUGGGCGUAAAGAGCUCGUAGGCGGUUUGUCGCGUCUGCUGUGAAAGACCGGGGCUCAACCCGGUUCUGCAGUGGGUACGGGCAGACUAGAGUGCAGUAGGGGA
rnacentral:rRNA from 1 species